rnacentral:rRNA from 1 species
UACGGAAGGUGCGAGCGUUAAUCGGAAUUACUGGGCGUAAAGCGUGCGCAGGCGGUUAUUUAAGUCAGGUGUGAAAGCCCUGGGCUUAACCUAGGAAUUGCGCUUGAGACUGGAUAGCUUGGAGUGCGGCAGAGGGAGGUGGAAUUCCACGUGUAGCAGUGAAAUGCGUUGAGAUCGGAAGGAACGCCCGUGGCGAAAGCGAGGUCCUGGACGCCUACUGACGCUGAGACGCGAAAGCCAGGGGAGCGAACGGG